GAGGCAGGUUCCUCCAAGUAAUAUGGAGGCAACGAAUCCAGAAAAUGGUGGAGAUACGGGUGAUCAAAUUGUUAAUGCAGCAGCUCAAGUGAUAUGAACGGAUCUUUCUAUCUGUUGGGUUCUGGAUGAAUGAUGGCCGGCUUUGGGUUUUGAUUCGAUAUUCCCAAUUCAAUAUCUUUUGAAAAUUUUCUUGCCGAGAAGCUUAUAAAGGAAAAUCUAACCGAUAUGAAGCUUAACAAAGGUGGGGAUUUGAG
rnacentral:misc_RNA from 1 species